UCUCUUCCCAUACCCUAUCUUGAAUAUGCCGCAUACUUAAAUCAAUCCCUAAAAAUUCAUCACUGCCGCUAAGAUCUCCCCCUUCCGUCGUUCUCCACUAUCACGCCUCACCCAAUUCAACACCAUCUUAUCUUGAAUCUUCUAUUUCAUUCUCUCUUCUUUCUUUAUUUCUGCUACAACCCAUUCUUCAACUGCCGUGACUUAAUCGAGUACUUGCUCGGGAUAUGAUAUAUCGGAAGAAACGGAACGGGGCGGAUCUGGUUUCCUCGGAAAUCCCCAGUGCAUGAUUGUUUGAUGAUUAUUGUUUGUUAGACGAAAUUACUGUGAUUUGUGGCCAUCUUCGUUCACUUGACCCUUCAGCCCUAAUUUAAUGAAUCAUUUGGGAAUUCCGACAAGCUCAUCGAACCAACCACUAAUCCCCACCUCUUAAUUUACAGUGUUUUCUCACAGCCAACGACUGCCAUUGUCCUCUGAAAUUGGGGUGAGCAACACUGGGUACCCGCUUAUUUUUUUGGGAUCGAAACCUGUUGCACCGGUUCGUAAAAAAUGGGAACUGGAAUCUGUUCUUCUGGUUCCUAAAAAUUGAGAUCCAGAACCGGAACCUGUAGGUAUCGGUACCGGUUCCGGGUACCCUGUUAUUUUGACAGCUUUCUCAUUCAACCUGUUAAUUGUUACACAUUAAGUGGAAUGGUAUGUCGCCUCCAUGUUAAAAUUGACCCUUUUAUAACCUGUUAAUUUAUUAAACUAAAAUGUUACUACUUAUCACAAGUAACUAUUUUCUAUACAAAAUUUAUCCACCAUUUCAUACUUAAAUAGUAAUAAAAACUCUAACCCAAAGUACAUAUUACGAAAAAGCAAAGUUUGAAAUCAAUUACAAGUUUAAUCCAAAUUCAAAAGUAUAGGUCACAAAAUGCAUAAAGUCGUAAAAAGUCCAAACCAAGUAUGUUUACAACUAAAAGAUAUUACACCAUAUUUACAAUUCCAAUGCAAUUUUUGCUCCUUUCUCAAACUUUCAUGCGGUGAUGCCCUUGAUACUCUACUGACUCCUAGCACAAAGACAAAUAAGUUAUUACA